ensembl:lncRNA
AUGCCAUACCAUUAUGAGAAGAGCUGUAGAGAAUCACCUAUUCACCUUUCCAUCCCUCCCUAUUUCAGAGCAGCAGUUUCACCCCAUCCACCAAGUGAGAGGAUGGAGAGGAUGGUGAGGAUGGUGGAGCAUCAAGCUUACAAAACAUGUACUGAAAGGGAUUAGAGAUACUGUUCAGUACCAACCUGCCAGAAAGUCCAAAUCAAGAUUUUGCAGUUCAAACACCGGCACAAAUGACCGUAAAGAGCUAAGAAUUUGCAGGAAAAUAAAGUGAUCUCAGAUUCCUGAUGGCAGACUGAAAGUCCAGUAGAAACUACAAAGAGUGGGCAGAGUUUGAAAUGACGUAAUUCUUUCAGUUUCUUAAGGUGAGUCAUUAAAAAUAUU